rnacentral:lncRNA from 1 species
UUCAGGUCAGUGUGCAGCGAUGGCUCACUGUGGUCUGAAUUCACGCUGCUAACUGGCCCCUCUCGUGUUUGCCGUUCUAUUUUCAGAAGUGCUGCUGUCAUAUCCUGGAGAGGAGAGGAGAGGAGAGGAGAGGGGCUAAGUGGAGCGGGCAAAGUGAAAAGUGUCCUUGCCUGGGUUACUUCAUCCUCAACAAAGUCCUUGAAGCAAGUUGGAACAGCAAAUUGGCCCAGUGCACGAGCAGAAGAAAGCAGCUGCACCCCGACAGUCAAGGCUGACUGAAGUUAGCCGGGUGUAUGUGACAAGCAGCAGGAGCAGAGCAGAGGCUACCAUACGAUUUUUAACUUGAUAUAACAUGUCUAUAAGUUUGCUAUUCUAUAACUGUGCCUUUACAAUUUAUAUAACUGUGUCCUUGCAUAUAUAUAUUGGUAUCCCUACAAAGUGUAAUCACUAAGUACUAUAAACAUAUACCAAUAAAAUAAAAAUUAAAAAAUAAAAUAAAAGACCAG